AACGAACGCUGGCGGCAUGCCUAACACAUGCAAGUCGAACGAGACCUUCGGGUCUAGUGGCGUACGGGUGCGUAACGCGUGGGAACCUGCCCUUAGGUUCGGAAUAACUCCCCGAAAGGGGUGCUAAUACCGGAUAAUGUCUUCGGACCAAAGAUUUAUCGCCUUUGGAUGGGCCCGCGUUGGAUUAGCUAGUUGGUAGGGUAAAAGCCUACCAAGGCGACGAUCCAUAGCUGGUCUGAGAGGAUGAUCAGCCACACUGGGACUGAGACACGGCCCAGACUCCUACGGGAGGCAGCAGUGGGGAAUAUUGGACAAUGGGCGAAAGCCUGAUCCAGCAAUGCCGCGUGAGUGAUGAAGGCCUUAGGGUUGUAAAGCUCUUUUAACCGGGAUGAUAAUGACAGUACCGGGAGAAUAAGCUCCGGCUAACUCCGUG
rnacentral:rRNA from 1 species